AUUUUGAACCCAUCACUCUUUUAUGAGCAGCAUGAGAAGAAUUCAUUGGCUAAAGAAGUGUGGACAGGAUUCCAUCAGGUUGUUAUCAAGUUGAACCCAGAUGAAGACUUGCAAGAAAAGAUAGUAGAUUAGUUUGCUACUUACAAGGCAGCUGAAGGACUUUUUAAGCUUCGACUUGCUAUUAAACAAAGAACGACAAAGUCGCCAGGUGACCAAGUGUUUCUAUAUUUUAUAGCUCUAACUUCAAUGUAUUUUUUAUACUUAUUAACUCUUGAAUAUUUUUUUGACUUCUAUAGUUGAAUGGUGGGACCAAUAUGGUGUAGAGACUCCGGAGUUACAGACUUUCGCCAUCAAAGUUCUAAGCUUAACUUGUAGCUCAUCCGGAUGUGAAAGGAACUGGAGUGUUUUUGAACACAUUCAUACAAAGAAAAGGAAUCGACUAACCUUGAAGCGACUCCAUAAUCUAGUGUUUAUAAAAUACAAUAGAGCAUUGAGGCGUCGGUACAACCACCGCAAUAUAAUUGAUCCAAUUCUUUUGGACAAUAUUGAUGAGGCUAAUGAGUGGCUAACCGGAGUCCCCGAAAAUUGUGAAGAUGAAGAAGUAUUUGAAGGCGACUCCGAUUUCACUUGGGGUGAUGUUGCGGUUGGUAGUGGAGUUGGGGAGAAUCCUUAUGGUUUAAGGAGAUAUACUCCAAGUUCAAGCUCUAUUAGGAAGGGAAAAAGUGUGGCUACUACAAGUCGAUCCCUAUCCCUAAUUGAUGAAGAGGAAAGUGAUCAUGAAGAGGAGGGGGAAGAAGAAGAUGACGAGCAAUAUGAAGAUACUAGAGGAAUUCAAGAUUUUGACAAUCUUGAAGAAGAAGAAGAAGAGUAGAAGAAUAAGAUGUUGAUUGACUUCUAGUAAUUUAGUAGCUUUGAUUUUGCUUGUCCUAUGGUUUGUGGAUGAUUUGGUGGUACCUAGUACCUAAUUUUAAGUAUUUAAAUUGAUGUUUUUGAUUAUUUAUAAUUUUACAUUAUGUUUUUUAAGAAUUGCGCUUCACUUUAAUAAAGCGUGCGCUUCGCUUUGCGCUUCGCUUUUGAAGCGAGGCGAGCCCUUGUCGCUU